AGGCUGUACAGAAGACAUGGCUGGGGAGGCCUCAGAAAACUUACAAUCAUGGCAGACGGUGAAGGGGAAGCCAGCACAUCUUUACAUGAUGGCAGGAACUUUAAAAGUUAGCCCCAAGAAUGAAAUUGUGUCCUUUGCCAAAACAUGGAUGGAGCUAGAGGCCAUUAUCCUAAGUGAAUUAACGCAGGAACAGAAAGCCAAAUACUGCAUGUUCUCACUGAUAAGUGGGAGCUAAACUAUGGGUUCACAAAGGCAUAUAGAGUGGUACUGUGGACAUCGGAGACUCAGAAUGGGGGAGGCUAGGAGGGAGGUAGGGGAUGAAAAAGUACCUAUUGGGUACAAUGUACACUACUUGGGGUGACGAUGGGUCCACUAAAAUCCCAGAUUUAACCACUGUACAAUUCAUCCGUGUAACCAAAACCCACCUGUACCCCUAAAGCUAUUAAAAUAAAUAAAACCAAAUUAGCUGUUUCUGUUAGGUGAGUUGCAAAUAUUUUCCCAA